rnacentral:lncRNA from 1 species
GACCUUUCCUUAAUGUACUUUAUGCAUUAUAAUCACCUUCGGACUUUUCGAAGUUUACACACUCGACAAACAGUCGAUUCCAUUCGAAGUCCAAUCCUCGUAUUUCGAGGAUUCACUUCCUUAUAAUAAAUUUCAUAAUUUUUUAAAAUUAUAAUAAAGUUCAUCAAGCGGAUAUAAAAUGAACGGUCAAAAUCGAAUGAUGUCUUAAAAAUGGAUGAUCGGAUCCUUACAUUUAAGAUCGGAGUUAUUGAUAUUUAUCUGUGUAGUGAAUAAAAUUUUCUAUAAAAAAUUCAACCAAUUUUGAUUCUUUUACACCGUUAAACUAGCAAAUAUCCCAUGCCGGUCAUUAAAAAUUAUCAAAUUCGUGAACUUUUGAUCAUAAGGUAAAUGAUGUUGAAAAAUUAUAAAAUUUGAUUUAUAGACGUUUUAAAUGCUCUAGAUAACGUUUAAUGGUGUGGUCGUCGAUUCGGAAGCUCUAUCAUUAAAAAUAACUUAUGAGUACGAAAGCGAUUGUACUCAUAAGAAUAUAGUAGCUGGACUCUCUCUCUCUCUCUCUAUAUAUAUAUAUAUAUAUAGAAUUAGGCUGGAAUACUAUUAAUAGUAAAACGCUCUUUUUGCUAUCAACUUUUUAACCCUUGGAUAAAAAAUUGUAGGGUCAGGAUGAUAUUAGUCGGUUAGAGUUGAGUGGUUAUUUAUAUAUAUAUAUAUAUAUAUAUCUCUUUCUCUCUCUCUCUCUCUCUCUCAGGCCGCCGCUAUGAUAGUUAUCGUGCUUCGUAAACUAUGAUAGUUCAAAAGACGGCAAUCUAAAUGGAGAAAAUAGUAAAAGUAGGCAAGCUAAUAUGAUAAGUUGAUUGGUGGGUAAGUUGGGAUCUCCCGGGUGUAGUAGGAUUGGCGUGUAGAAAUUAGGUUGCCGUCUUUUGAAUAUCGUGGUUCAGUAACCGUGAUAAUUAUCACAAGGUCGGAUCAAGAUAUGUGUGUGUGUGUGUGUGUAUAUAUAUAUAUAUAUCUCAACCUGACCCGAUGAUAAUCAUCGUUUUAAAGUAAUAACGAUGGUUAAAAAAUCGGAAACCUAGUUGAGAAAAGUAAUAAAGAUUGGUAACCUAAUUUAUGAUAUUGGGUCACCCCNNNNNNNNNNNNNNNNNNUAUAUAUAUAUAUAUAUAUAUAUAUAUAUAUUUAUUUAUUUAUUUAUUAUGUUAUAAUUAUAUAUAAUAAUAUAUGUUAUGUACUUUAAUUAUAUUAAUAUAGAGUUUAUAUUAUUGAGCAUAUUAGUUGGCGUACAAAACUAAAUCAGCAAAAUCUUACACUAAUUACUCUCUCUUCCUCUCUUUCACUUGCUCGCAUAUUCCUUUUUUAAAUUUUAUAGGGAAAACUUCAAAACCCCCCGUGGUUUCGCACUUUCUCACUUUAGUACCAUGUGGUUUAAGGUGUAUCAAUUUAGUGCCCUAUAGUUUUAUUUUUCUCUUUUUAUUAUCAAUUUUACUAUUUUUUUUCUUAAGUCAGUGACAAAAUAAAUUAAAAGGUACUAAAGUGAAUAUUCGAUAAACCUAAGUAGGUAUCUGAAGUUUUUUGUAUAUAAUUUAACAAAAUAUUACCGAAAAAACUACCGAAAAAAUAAAAAUGAAACAACAGGGUACAAAAUUGAUACACUUUAAACUACAUGGUACUAAAGUGAGAAAGUGUGAAACCAUAGGGAAGGUUUUUGAAAUUUUUCUACUUUAUAUUUUGAAAUAUUAGACAAAUUUUAUAUUAAAUUUUAGAUAAUAUUUUAUAAAAAAUUAAACUAUAAAUUUUAUGAUAUUAAGAAUUUCAAGCAGUUCGUUUAGGGCUCGAGCUCGCUCGACUCGAAGUUAGGCUCGUUUCUGCCCCGUAAACGCAACUCUCGAACCGCUUGCAUUCAUUUGAUCAAUAAAACACACGGAUAACGAUUGGCGCCAGUCUCGCUGAGACGAUCACCCCUACCUUAUCGGAAAUCAUUACCUUCCAUGAAAAGAAGAUCUGAAUUCGACUGAAAAAAAAAAAAAAAAAUUGGAAUAAAAAAAAAAAACAGGAGCAGAUGGCGUUCGCUGCCGGGGUCCCGCCCUCCGCCGUCCGAACCACCACCACCGCGACGCCUGCCGUCCCCCGCCACCGCCGCCCCAACCUCCAUCCCUUCCUUAGCCCUCUCCCCGCCUGCCGCCGCUCGGUCUCCACCCGCGCUCCGGCCCUCCCCUCGGCGGCGGACAUCUCCGCCCUCGACGCCCCCGCGGCCCUCGCCGCGGCCUCCGUGGCAGCCGCCGCCGCCGCCGCGCUCUCCCUUUCCGACCCCGAGCGGCGGCGCCAGCGCCAGGCCGCGGAGGUGGGCGGCGGCGACAAGGAGGUGGUCCGCGACUACUUCAACACGACCGGGUUUGAGCGGUGGCGCAAGAUCUACGGCUCCUCCACGGAGGGCGUGAACCGCGUCCAGCUCGAUAUCCGCCUCGGCCACUCCCAGACGGUCGCCGCCGCCCUCCGCAUGCUCCGCGACGCCGGCCCCCUCGCCGGCAGCACCGUCUGCGACGCCGGCUGCGGCGUGGGCUCCCUCUCCAUCCCGCUCGCCUGCGAGGGCGCCCUGGUCUCCGCGUCCGACAUCUCCGCCGCUAUGGUCGCCGAGGCGCAGCGCCAGGCCGAGGAGGCCCUCCUGGCCCAGCACUCCCCCGACGACAGCCCUUUCCGAAUGCCCGACUUCCAUGUCAAAGAUCUGGAAAGCAUCGGCGGAAGGUACGACACCGUGGUGUGCCUGGACGUGCUGAUACACUACCCCCAGGACAAGGCGGAGGCGAUGAUCGGCCACCUCGCCUCCCUCGCGGAGAAGCGCCUGCUGCUCAGCUUCGCGCCCAAGACGCUGUACUACGACCUGUUGAAGAGAAUCGGGGAGCUGUUCCCCGGCCCCUCCAAGGCCACGCGGGCAUACCUGCACGCCGAGCGCGACGUGGAGCGCGCGCUUAACAAGUUCGGCUGGCGGGUGCGGAAUAGGGGUUUCGUCUCUACGCAGUUCUACUUCGCCAAGCUCGUCGAGGCUGUGCCCGCAGGGUCGGCGUGAGAGGGAGGAGGCAAGUAACUGCCUUGUAAACUGGGUUGCGAGGAGAGGUAUGUGUUGUGUUCGAUUUCUGAGAUUCUAUUCCUCCUUUUCUGAGAUUUGUGUUCGAUUCUACGACCCGUUGAGGAGGCAAGUAAUUUCUAUUUGCAAAUAUUCCUAAGGUUGGUUGAGGUCCUGUUUGUCCCUUUUGAUGCCAAAUAUGUCUGUCUCUUGAUCGGCCCUUGCUUAGUCCUUGAUUCACUUCCUCUGUCUGUAAUGCUUUUAGAUGUGUAAUCCGGUCCGGUGAUCGUGUCUCUAACUUCAUUACUUCACGCUGGGACGUGGAAAUUGGAAGCGUUGUCAAAAUGUGCUGUUAAACACUUGGAGCUCUGUUUUGCCUUGUAGAUUUAGUUUUCUAAAAUUCGUUAGCUUCUACUUCGCUGAAAUUUAUUCUUUGGCAUAUAUCGAGUGCAUUAAAACCCUGUGCCAGGAAGUUGUGCAGGGAGGUCAUGCGAUUUAUCAGUCGGAGGUUUGAAACCUCAUUGUAGUAACAUCAGUAACUUAUCCACUCUUUGCUGCCGUUGUGUCGCAAAACUCUCUAGGAAGACGUGACUUGGCAAAAGAAAAAAAGAAAAGAAAGACCAAUAGGAGGUGUUAUUAUUGUUCAAAGUGAUUCCAUUGUGGUGAUUGAAUGAUACCGUGAGAUUGAUAAAUCAGAAAUUGAGAAUCCGUUAGUACGCAAGGAACCUUCUCGCAUGGAUGGUUGCCGUCUUGAACUAACUGAAACAAACAGACUUACAUUGACAAAAAUAACUAUAUUAUAUAUUUUCCUUGUAGUUACUUUAACCUCUUUGGAAGUUGAAACAAGUUAUCUAGUGGUGACGUGUAAUAUGGAGAUUUCUCUUUUAAUUACAAUGUGGAAAUUUGGCUGUAGCUAGACCUUAGUAAUUUCGAUUGUUUUCAGCACAGUAUGUGCUACCUAUGAGAUGAUGAUUUAUCAUUCUGCCAUUAAAUUGAUUUAAAUAUGGUGUGUCAUGUUGUUUUAUACAUCUUUCCGCAUUCCCUGUUAACCAACUACCAAUUGCCCUGAGUAAACAAAUUAUAUCACUUAAGCAAUAUGUGAUAAAUCACCUAUCAGGUGGAAUGUGUUGCAUUGAAUGCCAAAGGCAGCUACUAAGGAGUACUUCGAUAAGUCCCAGCCGGCACUAACUUAUAAUUGGAUCAGAAGGAAAAGUUUGAAGCAGUAGGAGUUUGUGUCAACUCUGAGAAAGCUUUUGAUAGGGUCAUCUGGGCGUUUCCUCAGGAAAAUUUUGCUGUGGUUAGGAUUUGAUUGGAAGUGGUGUGAGUAGAUCGAGCAAUGUACCUUCUAAUUGUGGAGAGCCUCUUCCUCCUACCUGUGGAGAGCCUUGCAAGGAUGAUGAAAUCUGCUGCUCAAAUAAUUUUAUAAAGGGGUUUGGCUCGUCUGGCGAGAGUAAAGUGGCUCUUAUACAAUAUAUAUGCAGAGAUAUACUCUUUUCUACUCUUGAGGAAUUUACAAUUUAUGUGGCUUUUCUUCGACUGGGCGUCAGGAUUAAAAAUCUAUGAGGAGAAGUCUGUUUUAUAUGGAUAGCAAAGCACUUAAGAUGAGAGACUAGCCAGCAUCUUGUCCUGCAAAAUUAGAUCAUUUUCACCUUGCUACUUGGCUCUACCUCUUUCGGAUAAGAAACUCAAGAGGCAGCAUUAUGGACGAUAAUUAAUAAGAUUGAGAGAAGAAUAGCUGGAUGGCAACCUAAACUCUUAUCGCAGAGGGGGAGGAUGGUUCUAGUUAACUCAGUCAUUUCCAACCUACCUCUGAUGCAGGGGAAAAGUUUUAGAAAUCAAAAUCUCAUGUUAAAAGCAAAAUCUUAUAAAUUUGAAACUCUCUAUGGCAACUAUAUGCUUUGUCACGGCGAGACUUAAACACAGAUGCGUAAAAAUAAUUUAUGAAUAAUGAAAAUCAUAAACUGCGCAAUAAAAUCCAGAUAAAAAGAUUGAAUUUAAAAUAGAGAACGAGAUGGAAAGUUGUACCGUCAAAAAAUCCGCAGUCGAAUUAGAAAUCGCAAGCGGUGAACGAAAGUCGCCAAAUUCCUAAAGAUUUCUUCAACGCUCUUUUUCUACCGGAGUACCAUCAUGCAUCGGUUGAAAGCGCGAUCUCCAAGAGGUUGAUAUUAGGGCCGAGGUGAGUGUACGAUCGGAAGAUGAGAACGACGGCUAGGGCAAACGGGGUCCGUAAACGUCUUUCUCUUUUUUUUUUCCUUUGACGUCUCUUUUUUUUUUCUUUCUUUGACAUUUUUUUUUUCUUUCUUUUUUUUUUUNUUUUUUUUUUUUUUUUUUUUUUUGUUGAAAGACGUACGACGGAACUAAGGAAUAAGAAUCUUAAUGGACCGCAUUUUCGCGGGUUUGAAACCCAUUAACAAAAGGAUCCAAUAAACUUCUUUUUCUC